GCUGGGCAUGGUGGCGCAUGCCUGUAGUCCCAGCUACUCAGGAGGCUGAGGCAGGAUAAUUGCUUGAACCCAGGAGGUGGAGGUUGUAGUGAUCCGAGAUCAUGCCACUGCACUCCAGCCUGGGUGACAGAGUGAGGUUCUGCCUCAA
rnacentral:SRP_RNA from 1 species